CCUCCGACGAUCAAGUUAGCACACACUUGAGGAUAGAGAGAGUGAGGAGAGAGUUGAGUGUAAGUGUUUCUCUUACCAAAUGUUCAUCUGUCCAGCAUGGGGGGCGCAAACUUGCUUAUAUACCUUAUGCACCCCAAAUCUACCCACAUUCAUCUCUCGACACGUGGUGCUGCUAUCCCAUCGGUCAGCACAAAUCUUGCUGAACAUCACCUAACCCGACUGCCAGCCCACUAUAUUGGGAGCUUGGCAGCCGGGCUGUAGCAUCUCGGCUGUCAACGACCAUACAGCGUUUCAUGCCCAAGUGCCCCCAACAACCGAGCUCCUUUCUAGCCAUGCUCGACUGCAUUCCGACGAAGCCAACCUUAAGAUUGGUCAUACUGGUCAACCAAAGUCCUUCCUGCCGAGCUUCAAGCAUGAGCCUUCGCGCCGAGCUAUGGAUGCGUGCUUUCCAGCCGCGCAACGCAUAAACCGUGGAACCCUUACUUGACCGGCUUCCAUGCUGACAAGGUGAAGUAGCUCGGUUCCACACGCCCUUGCCAUUGCCGAGCAAAAAUCACUUCUGGGUGGACCUGGGAUACCACGGCCCAAAUGUGUUCGGCCCACAAUUUUCUUGGUAUUACCAUGGCCCAAUCCAGACCAUAUUUUUCCCUCUCAGAUCCUCUUAGAGAUCUUCAUGUGAUCCUUUUUAAGACCACCAGCGCCAACUAUACCACGAUCGGCUCUAAACGAACUCGUCGACAGCUUCCACUAUCAUGAAAUCGGGGGCUCUGAAAUCUUGUUGAUGGCUUCGACAUGGUCGAUCUAGAUCUAGAUCCACCGUCAAUGUCCGCAACAUCGACCUCUUCUUAAUCGAUUGAUUACACCUCGAUCAAUUGCAGAUCUAAGAUUUGAGAUCUCCUAGAUGUAGAAAUCGAAAGCCCUAGGGUUAGAUCAUGAUCAAGAUGGGACUUCAUUGGUUAAGAGAUCCACCGCUCCAACUAUAGUCUCCACUGCUAGGAAGGAGUUCGAUGCGAUGUGAGAGAGGCGUAUAUGAGCUUCUAAUCUUCUUCUUCAGGCCUUUGGCAGUGUCGGUGGUCUCCGAAGGCUGUGAUAGAGGAACCAGAAAUUGCCAUUGAAUCGGGGCAGCGGCAGUACAAACUGUCAGAAUGGAAGCUUGGACAGUACAAGAUCUAUAUGGAGAGGGGAUGAGAGGGUUUGGUGUGUUUGAGCAGAGAGAGAAAUAUGUUUUCUUCAAGAAGCAGCGGCAGUACAAGGAUAUGUUUUCUUCGAGAAAUAUGCUGCAUCUUUGGCUCUCUCUCCUGGGAAUUCUUUUCUCAAGUUAGUUACAUUGCCUCUUGAUAGGUUCUUUGGUUAGGAAGUAGCACUUCUGAGAAUUGGCUGGGCAAGAGGACAAAUGAUACUAGAAGCUUGGCUGUCAUGUGCAUGGCGUUCGUUCAUGAUCCUCUGAUAAACUGGCGUCUUUUCAACUUCAAUGAAGUCCCUCAAAUAUCAACUUCGUUUUGGUAGCUGUUUCGUUUUCGCAAAAAUGGAAACUAUUCUCAAAUUUUAAAAUUUGUAGGAGAAAAAAAAGUGUUCUCAUUUGUUUUGAGAAAAAAUUAUCCAUUUCCUCCUCCCUCCAGCCACUCAAACAUCACCCUCUAGCCACUCUAGUCCCUCCAAAAAUUCACCAAACACAUGUUCUUGUUUAUGUUUUAAUUUGUUUUGGAAACAUAUUCAUCAAUUCUUUGUUUUUUAUUAUUUUUUUUCCUACAAAACAAAAAAAUCAUGUUUCAAUUUUGCUAUAUAAUCUAUUCAAGAAAUUUGCUAGAUAAACUAGUUAUUUGCUAUAUAAUCUAUUCAAUUUCGUUAUUUAUCGAACGUUAUAAGGUCUGAAUCUAUUGUCAAGCAAAUUGUUAGCUCAUAACUGAUUUGCUAUUAGUUGGUUGUAAUUAGUUCGUGACAGCUGGCAUUAGAAAGAUAAGUCUGUUUUGGUUUUGUUUAGUUGAGGCUCAGAAUAUAUAAAACUUGAGUUGUAUAUUGUUUUCUCUCUCAAGAAAUUAAUAAUAAAAUCUAGUUAUUCAUUUUUCUAUC